AGUGAACGCUGGCGGUAGGCCUAACACAUGCAAGUCGAACGGCAGCACAGUAAGAGCUUGCUCUUACGGGUGGCGAGUGGCGGACGGGUGAGGAAUACAUCGGAAUCUACUUUUUCGUGGGGGAUAACGUAGGGAAACUUACGCUAAUACCGCAUACGACCUACGGGUGAAAGCAGGGGAUCUUCGGACCUUGCGCGUUUGAAUGAGCCGAUGUCGGUUUAGCUAGUUGGCGGGGGAAAGGCCCACCAAGGCAACGAUCCGUAGCUGGUCUGAGGGGGUGGUCAGCCACACUGGAACUGAGACACGGUCCAGACUCCUACGGGGGGCAGCAGUGGGGAAUAUUGGACAAUGGGCGCAAGCCUGAUCCAGCCAUACCGCGUGGGUGAAGAAGGCCUUCGGGUUGUAAAGCCCUUUUGUUGGGAAAGAAAAGCAGCAGGUUAAUACCCCGCUGUUCUGACGGUACCCAAAGAAUAAGCACCGGCUAACUUCGUG
rnacentral:rRNA from 1 species